CCCAGUCCGCCGUGGUGGUGCUUCGUUUUCCCCUGCUGGCAGCCGAGCCCCUCCAUGGCGCUCCUCCCUGCCCCAGCUCGGAUCUUCCUCCCAUGGAGCUCGCCCGCGACGCCCGGCGUCCUGCCUGCUCUGCUCGCCCUCGGCUUCUUGCAUCAGGCAAGCCCUGUGGCCAGAUUCCUCUCCCAGUCGAGGUCCUCUCCUUCCAAUAGAUGAGCACGUCGUUCCUCCCUGCUCUGGCUCGGACCAAGCCGUCUUCGCCGUCCGCGCGCCCCUGGUCCCUGCUCUCCUAGCUCGUCAGUGCUCAGCCUCUGCUGCAUCCCUGGCGCGCGCCUGUCUACGCUCGUUCAGAGCCGCGUCGCGCCGAUCUACUCGUCCUGGCGACGGAGCUCCUCCUCUGCUCAACCCGUUUCUGCCUUUCUCUAUUGCCUGCUCGUCCAUGGCGCGCCCCCGUCGCCGUGGAGCUCCCCGGUGUCCUUUCCAUGGCCGGCUUCCAGCCCUCUGUUUCUCCCACGGCCGCGCAUCCUCCUUCCCCGCGCGGCAGUCUCCCUCUUCCCUGGUCGUGCGAGCUCAGCGUCCUCCCUGGCCAUGCCGAGCUCCCUCUCCCAUGUGCUCAGCUUCGACAAGACACGGAUGCCCGGAUGGUUGGUCGCACGUCUUUCUCCUCCCUCAAGUCCGGCAGCCAGCGUUCUUCCUACUCGACUCGCCGUGCUGGUCGGCCAGCAGACGUCGCGUCUGUUCCCUGGUUAUCGGAGCUCGGCAGCCCCUCGUAUACUGCCUCACCAUGAUGCACACCGUUGUCUUUGGGGUCCAAAAGCUUUGCCCGGCGCCAUCGGCUCCUCGCCCGGCCCGACCCCAAACGCCAGCUUGCGUCCAUGGUCGCGUCCGUCGAGUUCGCCAAAGCUCUGUUACGACUUACGAGUGCUGAACGAUACCUAUAAAGCCUCGCCGGUGAAGUCUGACGCCGUCCUCUGGUCUCAGCUCGCCCAACACUCGUGUUUGCCCUCGGCUCGCAUUGGCGCUCGCUCGCCUGUUCGUCAUCAGUGUGGCGCGCUCGCUCCUCGUCCAUCGGGCUUCGACAUGCUCGCGUUUGUCGUUGAGUCGUCAAACUCCGUCCUUCCUUGCUCGACUCCCAAGCAAAAUCUCUGAUCCGCGUCCUGCUCGUCGUCGAUUUCCCAUGCCUGUGACCGAGGCGCUCGCUCCUCGGAUCCUCGUCGCCACGCCAUUAUUUUCGUCAAAUAGAAUUGUCAUGCCGACACGUCGAUGUCAUCAUUUGCCUCCGCACUGCGGCUGGUCGGUGAUCUUGUUGUCGUCGUGUUCACUACAACUCUGCCUCUACGUGCUCGCCUCCGAUCACCGCUGCAAUUUUAGAAGUUUGAGUGAAGAAGUGGAACUCGUAGGGCGCUUGCCAGGAACUCGACUGGAGGCAUGAACAAGAAUCAGCAACGUUUGCUUGGAAUUCUAAUUGAAUCGGUACGUUUAUUGACUACGUGAUGCGAAGGACCAAAGUUGAGUUUGCCACAAGAUGUCGCUGCGCGUGAGCUUUUCCACAAGAUGAUGCUGAUGGAUGAAACUGAAGAUGGACAGACGAAGCAAGUAUCGGAACAACACUAACCUAGUGUUCUUCCAGGACCGAGAGAUGAUGAUCGUGCAAGUGAUGUGGUGCCAACCACAAGGUGCAGUCGGUGGACGACCCAAG
rnacentral:misc_RNA from 1 species